rnacentral:rRNA from 1 species
UACAGAGGUGGCAAGCGUUGUUCGGAAUUACUGGGCGUAAAGGGCGCGUAGGCGGUUCGUUAAGUCCUGUGUGAAAUCCCCCGGCUCAACUGGGGAACUGCACAGGAAACUAGCGGGCUUGAGUUCGGGAGAGGGAAGCGGAAUUCCGGGUGUAGCGGUGAAAUGGCGUAGGAGAUCAUGAGGAAGACCAGUGGCGAAGGCGGGUCUCUGGACAGUUCCGUGACACUGAGACACGAAGGCC